UUGUCUCUUCCUAACCCUUUUAGAGUAACUUAUUCUUCUAGCCGUGUGGAUACUGAGCUAGCUUGGGGAAGGUUUGUUUGGCCUAUGUCAAAGGAAACCAAAGCGUAUAACCAUCACCAUCAUCACCAAGAAGGAAACCGGAUUGGAUCUGAGAGGCCUUCAGUUUCGGGAUUCUCCCUUGCACAAGAGUCCCCGGAACUUCUCCUUGGGUGCCUUUCCUCGUCCCCCUCCCCCAAGUGCUCUUUUUAACGCUGGUUUAGAUUUCACCGAACAGAACAAGGGUCCAAAUUGUAAUUCCCAGCCCUGGAGCAGUUGAGACGGCCUCAAGAAAAAGAUUCCAAGUGAUUGAUGCUGGGAAAGAAGCCUGCUUUCCAGGUGCGGCGAAUUUCACUUCAAGAAAUCCAGACCCUAAAGAAAUAAUCGAAA